rnacentral:lncRNA from 1 species
GUAAGUUCUCUGUUCAGUGCAUUGCUAAAGGACACACUAACUGUGGAUUUAUGCUUAGGUGUAUUUCUGAGGUCUCAAUCUUCUCAAGGGUUAUCUUUUUUUUUUUUUUUUUUUUUUUUGAGACAGGAUCUUUAACUUGCAAUAUAGCUCAGACCAGCCUUGAAUUCACAAUCCUUCUGUCUCAGCCUUCUGAGUGCUAGAAUUAAAGGCAGGUAUCACCAUACUAGGCUUACGGAUCAGACUGGAAAUUUUAUAAAUCUAGAUCCUAGAAGAAAUAGUAUGAACAGCUUAAUUUAUUUUGCUACCUUGUUAUUGUGUUGUGGUUUUCUUUUUGGUGUUAAAUUUUUAGUUAAUACUUAGCAAAUUCUUUUUAAUCUGAAUAUUGGUCCUAGUAUGUUUACACAUUUUAUCUGCCACCACCCUUCUGGGACAAAAAGCUUUUCUCGUGUUAAGUUUACAAGAACCUUCCUUCCAGACGAUUCUGUGUCGAGGGGUUGCUGUAGUAGGAUAAUACAUAUUUAAUUUCCUAUGUAUCGGAAGAUAAUGAGACAUUUUAUUUGAUGUGUAGAAUUAAGGUGUGUGACAUGUGCCUUACAUAGAGAAGCAUUUAAGCAUCUUUAAGAUUUCAAAAGGAGUAUCCGCCCUUGCCGCAGACCCUCUGGGUCCCUGUGUCUGCGUGGAACGGGGUCUCUUGAUGCGGGUGGGCAAAGCGUGAAUGAAUGACAGACAGACGCACACAGGAGAGUUUGUGUGGAAUCUGAAUGUAAUUUUUCAAAUCGAACAUCAGACUUUUUAUGCAGAAGACAAUAAGGAAGUUGGGUGACAUACCCGCAAGGUACAAAUGAGGUAACCGGAUGCUUAAUGACUCUUACACAGAACAGAGGAAAUGAAAACACAAAGACUGGCAGAAACUGGGCAAUAAAAUAACUGAGACAGAGUCAGCCCUAUCUAAGGUCAGCUAUAGUCUCAGAAGCCAGGUGUGAGAACUUUUCACUCCUAGGGCAAGGGCUUUCACACCCAAGUCAUGGUUCUAACUAGGGAGUUCCGUUCUAGCUAACCAUCUCAUGAAUAAUGCAAUACUCUAAAACCACAGCCCGAUCUACUUCCUAAACCAUUGUAAAUUCCUGUAUAUGGGUGUAACUCAGCUAUAGUUCUAAAUAUCUAUUUUGGUUUCUCCUAUGGUCAGAAACUUCUUUCUUCCUUAGUGAUGGUAGAUUCCUGUGAAGGGCAGUGACCUAACUUUUACUCAAAGUGAUAGUGUAAUACCAGGGGCAGUACUGAAUUCCAAGCCCAAGGUCUUGCUAAGGACGAACUAGGACUGUUGGAACACUGGCGGACGGCUUUAGCUAUGUCAGAAUUCAAUCUUAAAAGGCACUUAUGAUAGG